rnacentral:lncRNA from 1 species
GAUCCCCUGGACACCCGCAGCCCCUCUUACUGAAAUGCUUAUUAUCAGACCGCGGGGGCAGUGCCAGUCGGGACUAGUGAAGGCAGCCAGAGCCUUGACCGGAGGCUCCGGUCCUCUGCCAGCUUCCACCCGGCGUGCCUCCCAUUGGAGGACGCGCACCCUCUUGGCGUCCCAUGGAGUGUCCCUGCGGGGUGCUCUGGUGGGAGCAUCUGAGACCUUGAGGGGGCGUCUGGAGAUGGGGACCGAGAUGAAUAUCCUGGCAUCUGUGCCCAUCCCGGUAGGGAGGAGGCUGACUAGACAAGACGGACAGCCCACCAGGCUGUCAGUGUGCAGUUUCACCCUGCCCAAGCACUGCUUGACCCGAGGCGAGGCGGGAUGGUGAGUAGGGCAUGCCUCUCCACUCCACCCGGGAAGCCUGCUGGGAGUCUGCUGGAACCUGGUGGAGGCAGGGCAUUUUCCUCCACCAGCCUGCCCCCUCCUGCAUACCAUUUUGGCUGGAGUGUCUGGAGACCUGGGACUCUGACCUUUGCUUCUGCUGGGCUGAUGAUAUCUCAGGAAAUGGAGUCUGCAUCUGCCUCAAAACCUCCUCAUCUUUGCCCUCACCUCUGAGUUGAAUGUCUGUUAGUUUCCUGUUGCUGCUGUAACAGAUGACCACAAAUGUAGUGGCUAAAAACACAAAUGUAGUCUCUUACAGUCUGAAGUCAGAAGACUGAAAUGGGUCUGCAGGGCUGUAUUCCUUCUGGAGGCUGGAGGCAAAUCCACUUCGCAUCCUUUCUCAGCUUCUAGAGGCUGCCUAUAUGUGGCUGCUUCCUUUAUCUUCAAAGCCAGCAGCAGCAUUUUCUAACCUCUCUGAAUCCAAGUCAUGUUCACACCAACUUUCCUGCCUCCAUCUUUUUUUUUUUUUUAACGUUUAUUUAUUUUUGAGACAGAGAGAGACAGAGCAUGAAUGGGGGAGGGUCAGAGAGAGGGAGACACAGAAUCUGAAGCAGGCUCCAGGCUCUGAGCCAUCAGCCCAGAGCCCAAAGCGGGGCUCGAACCCACGGACUGCGAG